rnacentral:lncRNA from 1 species
UUAUCCGUUCUUUCUUUCAUUCCCUCCCAAUUUCUUUGAUUUUCCUUAACAACCUAACUGUUUGGUUGGGUAUUGAUGAAAUGUGAUGAUAAAAAGAGUUUAAGAUUCAAUGAUUUUGGGGUUUAGUACUCAAUGAUUUUGAGGAUUAGGAGUUGAUUUAAGGUUUAGGGAUAGUAAUGGAAUUUAGGGUUCAAUGAUUUUGAGAUUUA